GCUAGAGAUCCCUACCUCCCUGAGGUCUUCCAAUGUCACAUUCUUUCCUGAGGUAUUACUUUGCUGUUCUAAAGAAGUAAUGUAGAUAACAAAGAAGCAUGAAGAAGUGUCGAAAGGUGGAGAAAGAAAGUUUCCUCUCUUAUUGCAAGGCUUCAGUGAUAUGAAGAUCAAAGAGCUGAAGUUUGUUAUUAUACCCAGCUGUGGUUAUAAUACUUCCAUGGAACAGUGGAUAGCACCAAUCAAGACAGAGCAAGUAGCAUUUGUUGUGAUUCUUAAGAGAUUUCCCAUUAUGGCAGUCGGUGCUCGCUAGAUCUUCAAGGGUUUGUGUUAAUUUUUCCAUAUUGUAGCAUUAUCUCAAGUGUAACAUUUACUUGAAAAUUUCAGAUAAUAUUAUCUAUUUUCCAGAAUGAAAGUAGACCAAUAAAUAUUGG